rnacentral:rRNA from 1 species
AUGGCUGGAGUUACCAUCUCCAGGAAUGCAGGCCUCUCCCUGCACAGGACAUGUGUGAAGCCAAAGGAUGCGCCGGCAUCAAAGGCGGCUGAGCUCCUGGUGUGUCGUAGCCUGGGCAUAGUCAAGAACGGCGAGGACGUCACCGCGGCGGCUCUAGAUGCCUUUGCAGAACGGUUCAAGGACCAGCUGCCUCAGGAAGUGAUCAACUCCAUGCGUAAGCUUUUCAAGCUCGACGACGGGCAAGCUGCAGGUGUGGAAGACGCCCUCAUCCAGCACGGAGGUGCCGGUGUCAUGGACAUGGAAGGGCCAGACGGCGGUGCUGCAGCGCUGCUGGCAGCAAUUUGA